UCACAGAUCUGUGCUUGUUUAAGUAAUGGCAGAGCCAUAAAACCCCUCCCCAGAGGGCCCCCAGGCACACAGAUCCUGUUCUCUGGAGAAAGGCCACAGACCUGCCCUCACUCAGACCUCUCUCUUCUAACGGAAUUUGCUGAAGGCCAUGAGGGGAAAGAGUAUGGGUCCCAGCUGGGAUACCUAUCUAGUGUUGAAGCCCUGCAGAUAGAGGGUCAGGAAUACCAUCUCCUGCAAGAGAACAGCCCGGGGUGAACUUGGGUCAUCAGAGAACAUUCGGGUGUUAGUGUCUACCAUCCAAGUGCCCGGGCAUCAGGAGCUGCCUGCCAAGAAGUAUCAGAUGUGGCUCUUGCCCUUGGAAAGCUUACGUUCUGGAUAAAAAGAAAAUGAACAACAGAUGAAACGUUAAAGAAAUGGCUUAGCUCUUAGGAGUGGUUUGUCUCUUGGAAGGUGGCGCACAGACACAGGAGGUGGUGACAGGCCAGGGCAAAGGGCACGGGACCGGAGUCUACAGUCUCGUCCUGCCAAGCCUUCAGAGCCCCACGCCUCUCUCUGUAAAACAGGAUGAUGGUGCCUGCUUCCCAGGGCUGCCUGGAGGGUCACGUCCGGAUGCAGGGAGAAGAAGCUGGCCCCAACCCAGCGUGCUCCUGUCCCAGGAUUUCUGUGAUGGGAACGUGAUUGUGAAGCCUGCGGUCCUAGAAGACUGCUUACCAGCUCCUCAUCCCUUCUUUGCUAUUUCCUGGGAGUUGCUGCCAAUCUAGACCCCGUGGACUUGUAGAUUUACAUCAUCUGUGCUAUUGGUUACAUCUGCCUGGAAAACUCUGCCGAAUUCAUUUUAAAAAUACACGGUUGAAAUGAUUUCCCUUAAUACCCCAGCAAACCUCCACAUGGCUAUUUUGUAGUCGAGGCAGGCUCCACUUUAAUCUACUCCAGAGCCACUUACAUUCUCUGCACCUGGAAUGAGAAUAUCCACAUCAGUUAUGUUUCCUGUGUUUCAGCAAAGGCUACAAGUCAAAACUAUAAUUUUGGUCCCGGGAUGAACUAGAAGGUACUGGAGGUGCUUGAUCUGUGAAAUUGGUUUUGAAAGACACAGGGAUUUUUUAAUUCUGCCAAUUCAAAGUCCGGUUAGUUUGUUGCUUUUUCAGUGCCCUUUGAAGAGCCUGUGUGACAAGUGAGUGAUGCCAGUUACAGUUCAUCAUGGCAUUCAUGGUCCUAGUACCUUGGCCAGGGCAGAGCGCCCUCCUCAAUGAAAGGCAUCAUGUCUUAUUUCUAGCUAACCGAGGUCCUGCAUUCCUGCAAGAGUAACUUACACUCAACCCACCCCAUAGAUUUUCCACUGCCACCAGCUUCAUGACAGGUUCUGACCCUCAGAAAACCUAAAAAAAAUAGACUGAGAGCCAGGAUGCCUGCCACCCCAGGGCUGGAUCACUAAUACUUAUACCUGCCAUUUUUUGAGUCCCAACCCAUAUCAGCUCCUGCCUCAGGUGCUUUGCACAUAUCACCUC
ensembl:lncRNA